rnacentral:rRNA from 1 species
AUGCUUAACAAGGAGAUCAAUGGUGAGCAUGAUAAUGAACCUGAUCCUGAUGAUGGUACUAGUGAGUUUGUCCUGGAAUCUGGAAACAAGACGGAAGUGGAGAUGGAGCUGAGAAUUGACUCCACAGUUCUGAAAUGUGAACCUGAUCCUGAUGACUCCUCUAGCUCUAUUCAAAACCAGGUGGUGUGCAUUGAUGGGAAGCACAUGGGAGAACCUGAUCUGGAUGCUAGUACCUGUGGAGCUGUUCUGAAACCUGGAAAUAAGAUUCGAGCGGAGAUUGGUCAGAGCAGAAAACACUCAGUUUUGGAGUCUGAACCUGACCCUGACGAUCAUGCUGCUAAUUUAAAGAGAGAUGAGCUGCAAAGAAUAGAAGAGCCAGUGGCAGCCCUCUGUUCGUGUCUCCAGAAGGCUAUUGAAAUGCUUCGGUCGCAAGCUACACCUUCAGAGGCAUCCUCUGCACUUCAAACACUCUUCAAAAUUAUCAAGAAUGUGAUAGAGAACCCAAAUGGCAUUCGAUAUAGAAGAUUGCGCAAGACCAAUCUGCAUUUCCAAAGGAGCGCGGCGAAUUACAAAGCUGCGAUGGAGGUCCUCGAGUUGAUUGGCUUCCGCGAGGAUGUGGUCUCGGAUGAGAUUGGGCGUGCGGAGACCUACCUGGUUCUGAAAAGGAAGGAUCCUGUGUUGCUGUGGCUUGCGAAGUCCUCUCUUGAAGUAUCCAUGGCUUGA